UGAAACGGGAAAAAAGAGAAUAACAAGUAAAAAGCAAUGCAUGUAAAUACAGAGCAAGCAAGUAGGAAAGCUAGGCAUAGCACAGCAAAAGAGAGCAAAGCAAAAGGCGGCAAAGAAUGACAAAAAGCAACCUUGCAGGAAUGGAGGAAUCUGGCCAGAGCUGUGCCCCUGCUUGCCACAGGAGCUGCGCGGGAGGAGAAGAAUGUGGGCCAAAAGGAAUGGAGGAAUCUGGCCAGAGCUGUGCCCCUGCUUGCCACAGGAGCUGCGCGGGAGGAGAAGAAUGUGGGCCAAAAGGUAAGAGGAGCUCCUUUGGGUUCUGGGCUUGAAGCAAAGCUGAGAAGCCAUGCCCGGGAGGAGGUGUGGGUAGCUACAGGCCACCUUGCUAUCUCCCCAAGAGAUGAGGUGUGUGGGCUAGGCACCGGGCAGGAGUGCUGGCCAGAAGCAAGCAUCUCUGUGGAGGAAGGCAAAGGGCGGAGGAGGUUCAAGGGUAGCUACCGGGCAUGGCCUUGCUCAGCAAGGGGAGGAAAAGCCUGAAGGGCACGAGAAGGGGACAGAGAAGGGCAGGCAGUAGGCGUGAAGCUGUGAGCAGAGUAGAGAGCAACUUGGCAGAGCAGCAAGCAGAGUAGGCAAGUGCUGAGGUUUGGCGUGAGUAGCAGCAAAAGCCCAUAGCAUCAAGAAGCAGGAAGUGAGGAGAAGGUAAGUGAAGGGCAGGCAAGGUAAUGGGAGGCAGGCAAGGGGAAAGGGGAGGGUAAGGGAGAAAGAGGGAUGGGGAGGGGAGGGGAUGGGUGAAGAGCAGAGCGGAGGGAAGGGCUGAGGGAGGGCUGAAGGCAAACCAAUGAUGAAAAAAGAAAAGAAAAAAUAAGCAACAAAAAAUAUGAAAUAAGAGAAAAAAGAAAAGAAAAAUAAGAAAAAGAGAAAAAAGGAAAAGAAAAAAUGAACAAAAAAGAAAAAAAGAGAAAAGAAAAUGAACAAAAAAAGAAAAAAGAGAAAAGAAAAAAUGAACAAAAAAGAGAAAAAAGAGAAAAGAAAAAAUGAAAAAAGAGAAAAGAGAAAAAAAAUGAACAAAAAGAG
rnacentral:lncRNA from 7 species